CUGCUGCGCGCCAGGCGGGAGGAGGGAAGGAGGCGGCAGAGCCGGGCGAGGGGGGAGGGGAGGCCGGCGCGUCGCCGCCCGCGUUCCAGGCCGCCGCCCGCGUGGACGCCCCUGGCCCGGGGAGGCCUCGACGACGAGCGCGGGCUCCGCAGCCGUCUCGGACCCAGCGCCCAACUCGGGGUCCCACGCGGGCACGAGGAGGCCUCACUGCUGGGCGGGGCCGCGGGAGCCAGUAGCAGACGGCCACGGGGACGGUCGGGGCCUCGAGGCUCCCCCUGACCCCGACCGGCGCCUCCCGAGGCGGGGGAAGCCUCCCUCGGGGCCCGGCCCUGACCGGAGGCCGAUCCCCGCUGCCUACCCGGGCCUCGGCGCCCAGGUCUGGCUUUCCACGCCCGUGAUAGCCGAGGCUGAGGGGUAGGGGGCCCCCUUUGUCCCCAGUUUGGGCUUGAGGCCCUCCCGGAGGCCACCGACGUCCUGAUUUGGUCGCUCAGGGCACACCCUCCAGCCCUGCGCUCUAGAGGCCGGGGGUGGGGGAUGGGGGAGGAGUGCGGCCUGGGAAAGCUGAGCGGGCCUUCCCCGGGAUCCCCCGAGGCGGAGGGCUCUAGGGCUCUUGGCUGGAGAAAGGACAGCUGCCCGGUACCCCCCGACUGAACCAUCGCCCUUUGGACAGCAGGAGCAGCCCUAAUUUCACUGACAAUAAGGUAGGUGUGAGCCCUUUGCCAGCCUGCGAGGGAGAUUUGGGGGGCUUGGGCCUGGAGCCCAGGGAGGGCGGGCACCCCAAACCCGCUAGGCUGGUUCUGCAGCCCCUCCCCCUACAGAUGUGUGGGACUGUGUGUGUGUGAAAUCAGCUCCCUGCUGGGCCUGCUCGGGCCAUCCAUCCCCGCCUGUCAGCUCCUGUUGUCAAGAGUUUGUGGCGUGCAAUUCUAUGCAGUGUUGAGCCUCAUAGGAGGCUGCACUUGCAAGUAUUUCCCAGUUGUGUGUUUUGUGGUGGGGGAGCGGGCCCUUGGUGCCUCUUCUGAAAGGUACUGUCUGCUGCCAGGAAGCCCAGCCCUGCUCUGGCCCUCCCUUCCGGCCCAAGUGGGGGCAUGUGGGGUGACUGUGAAAUGGCCUCUUCCCUCUGAUGUCUAGCUGCUAGGGAGGUGGAGAACACAAGUACCUGAGAUCUGGGCCAGCUUUCUCUGAGAAAGAGGCUUCUGCACUCUUCUCCCCAUUCCUGGGAAUUCCACCAUUCUCUGCACACCCCCCUCCCCCAAAAAGAGUCCUGUUUCUAAAAUCAGACAUAUUGGGAUUUGAAACCUGGCUAGCCAUUUACGUGCUAUGAUUUUGCUUGAGCUGCUUAGUCUCUGAGCCCGUUUCCCCCGGUGCACAAAUGGAGCUGGGUGAGUCCCAGUCUUGAGCAUGCUCAUUAGACUCCAGGGCCCAGUCCUGAGUGUUUGAUUCAGUAGGUGAGGUCUGAGAGCUUGCAUUUCUAACAAGUUCCCAGGUGAUGCUAAUGGCUGCCAUCCAGGGCACAUUUUGAGAACCCUUGGGCUGGGUAACACCUGGAGGUUUUGUGAGGACUACGGGAGCUAAUGCACUUGAAACCCCAAGCUGAGCGCCUGACACAGAGGCGUUAAGCUUCCCAGUAAUGGCAGCUCUCUCCUUUUCUCCUAACACAACCUGUGAUUGCUCAUAGUUUCCCACUGUCUCCAGGAAGCUCCACAGCUGUUAGUGGUGUGGCCCUUGAUCUCUGAUCCCUCCCCCACGUGAUCUCUAGUAAGGGAUUACUUUGAUGAACCAUUUGGGUCCGGGUGCCACUGAUCCCCACCACUCCCCAGGUGGGCUGAGGUUUGGCUUCCUUGUGGGAUGAGCUCUGCCCACUUCUACUCCACCCCACAAUGUGAGGGCUAAACUGAGGUUUUGGGGAGUCAGAAGGGCUUGACCUGGAGAUUUGGUUGAGAGCCAUCCUGGCACUUAAUUAAGGGAGGCUCUAAGUCUGAUGGCUGUGCUGGUGACCUUGGGUGAGUCUCCUGUGUGAAAUGAUAAUAAAAGAUGCUGGAGUGGGAAGAUUAAGUGUGAUUAAGGGGGCUUGGCCUCACGUUCAGGCUUCACACUAGUUGGCCUCCAUUCCCAUGUGGCUGCAGGGAGUGGGGGUUGGGCUGUGUGAGCUCCUCCCCCACCAACCCACCCCCGAGGCACGUGGCAAAGCCUCAGGGCAAAGGGGAAGACUGACUCUCCGUAGGCAGGGAGCCAGCACCGUUUUUCCUCCUGUGUGGUUUGAGUCGGAAUGGUGCCUCUCCCCAGCUUCGCCGGCUAUUCCAUGAUCGGCUCAUAAUUUGGGGUCACUCCCCAAAAACCCGGAGAGUAGAAGUGACUCACCCAAGGUCACGAGGCCACCACUGGCAGCCAGGACGGGGUUCCAGGUGUCUUGACUUGUAGCCCAUCGCCUGUGUCCAUGGCACCCCCCCAUCCCAGCUGUCUGGGUUAUUUUGGGCUCCCUCCCGUGCCAGCUGUCUGCUGGCAUUACUGCCAGGAAGCUGGGAAAGCUGUCUGGCUGAAAGUAACCAGCAUGGUGCACUUGGCUCCUUCUGGCCCCCUUCCCUUGGCCCCAUGAGGGUCUCCAGGUCCAGAUAAGCUGGGUCUGGUCCAUCUUGUCCUUUGCUGGGUGGGGAAGGAGGUUCACUCUGCUGCACCUGGCACCAGACCCCCUUCCCCCUAUGGGGGGGAGGAAGCACUCUGUAAAAGUUGAUGAGGCUCACGUUCUUAAUAUCCCGUGGGCCUCUUCCUUCCAUUCUGACCCCAAACUCAAGAUUUAAAUUCGGUGCUGCUAUUGGAUUGCUCUUUCAACCCCCCUUGAUCCUCACGUGACUGGCUUGCUGCCUGAGGGUGUCCUCCAUCCCUUUAGAUAGAGUCCUUAGGGCUCCCAGAGACCGGGGUCUUUAUGGGGUCUUUAUGUCCCGGGCAUCGGAUGGUUAAAUGAUUUAAAUUUCUCCCUCCCAGCCACAGCCUGGAGCGCUAUAGCCAGCUCCUUCACUCCCGCCCUUGGAACAAUUAGGGAGCAAUUAGGUGUGAAACUGUGGUCUGGGUAUGAUUCUUGGGAGAGGGAGGUGUCCCCAUGACCUGUAAAGAUCAUAACCCCCUCCCCGCUUCCCUUUCUUCUCUUCCACCUUUCUUUGUCCCCCACCCGCACCCCACCCCUAUCACCUCCUGGGGGCAGGGAGAGGAGCAGCAGCCUGUCUGUCCUCUGGCUGUGGUUCCUCCUGGCUCAGAGGUUGGCCCCACCCCCGGGUCACACAGCAAGCUCAGGGCGGGACUCCUCCUGGCGCCAAUCCGGUGGGGCCAGCCUGGAGAGGGCCACGCCAGCGGAAGGGCGGCCCAAGGCUGGGAGGUGGCUGGACCUGCCUCGCUACUGGACACCAGGGUCCCGCCUCUUCCGGCCCAUCCACCGAGAGCCCCAGCCAGGAAUACGACCUUUUGGACCCUCUGGGUGGAGACUGCGUCUGCCUGGACUGUGGCUAGAGGCACCCCGCCAUCUUGGAGGCCGCCUGGGUCAAGCGCUGUCUCCAGCUGGCCAGUUACCUCAGCAAGUUCCUGCCCCUCUGGGAGCUGAGGUCUCCCCAUGUGAACCAGGAAGAGGAAGGUGGUUGAUGACCUUUUGA